GUUUAAGGACAAAUCUGUGUUCACUUGAAUCACUACACUCAAUUAAUAAAUGUUAUUGUUAACAAUUUCACUGUUCCACAUUUGGCUGAUCCCCCCCCACACACACACACACAUUACUGUGUAUUCCUAGUGUUAACAAUGCGGUUUUGUUCACAUUUUCUUGCAGAUACCUUGACCAGAGAAUAACCCGUUAUCUUCACCCAAGAGACUUACUGUUGGGCUAUCAUUUUGGCGUUAAAGCACAGAAGAUAGUGAAGAGGAAGAGGAUUG
ensembl:lncRNA